AGAAUGGAAACUACUACUACUACUACUACUACUACUACUAGUACUACUACUACUACUACUACUACUACAUUUCGUUUAGAAGUGUUCUUGUUGUUAACGUUGGAGAGUAACUAUUGCAUCAGGGACCAUAUUUUGGCAUCGUUGUUCGUGGUACAGGUAUAAAAAAGAGAAAAAAGAAAAGGAAAAAGUGAAAUAACUUUUUGACGCAAAGAGCCUCAUUUUCUAGGAGAAUGAUAAUUUGAAUGUUCUUGUAUCUUGAUUCAUAUUUCAUAUGAUUUAAAUCGUAUCAUGAUACACAAUAUUAAAAAUUGUUAUUAUUAUUGUAUUAAUUGUCAAUUCUGUCUGUCAACUUUUAAAAAGAAAUGAAAUGGAUGAUUGAUCUUUUUAUAAUUGUAAAUUCGUAAAAAUUAUACUUUCUUAUUGUGGAUUAAUAAUCCAAAUAUUUAAUGAGAAUUUAGUUUAUUGCAAAAAGUACAUGGAAAAGUUAAUAUUUGAUAAUUCUAACUAGAUAAAUAUAUCUAGGAAUUAUAUUAUAUAGAGAAACGAUAGUACUUUGUAAUGAAAUUACCAAUUAUUCGAUAUCGUUCAUAAAUAAUUCUUUUGUAGAAUAAAGCUCCAUACGACAAAAGAUUAUUUGAUCAUAUUGAACCACGGAAUAAUCUCACUCUACUUGUACCACGAAUUACAUUUCGUUAUAUAAAAACUAUUUUUUUUAUUGCUAUUAACUUAUGAUGAAAUGUUUCAGGAGCAAAUCGUGCGAUUGAAAUUCGUUUCCAUUUUUUUUUCUUUUUUUUUUUUUUAAUUUCAAGAGUAAACAUAAAAUAGAUGAAUUGAGAAAGAGAAAAUUUUCCGGAACAACGAAAUUAAUUCCUAAAACAUCUUCCAUUAUAUCGUUAAUAGCAAUGGAAAUACUUCAAAAGUGUAUUCGAACGAGCCCUGAUGUAAAAGAGAAGCGCGCCAAAGUCAAGAUUUUCUUUUCAAAUCAUCUCCUCUUUUAUGAAAAAUUAUUAUAAAAACGAAAUGUAACGAGAAUCAAGUAUCAAGUAGAAGAAAAAAAAAACAAAAUUUUCCAAAUCAAAAGAUUAAACAUUGCAAUCUCUGUGAAUAAAGAAACAAAAUCGUAUUGAUCCGAAAGCAAAAUGUUGACUUGGCGAGCGCAAAACGAUCAGAAUGCACCCUCGAACACGAAAAGUGUCUCGAAGGACGAUCGAAAAACGCUGAUGAGAAAAAAGAAAAGAAAAGAAAAGAAAAGAAAAGAAAAAAAAAAAAUGAAAAAGUUGCAUGCGUUUUGUUAACUCUUUCGUUGAUCCGCGAGAUUGAUAUAAAAAAAAAAAAAAAAAAAAAAAAAAAAAAAAUAUCGAAGCACUAACCGUACCUGCUAGUUAAACUCAAUACGAUUUAGAUAGAUAGAAUAGAAUAGAAUAGAGAGAAAGAGAGGGAGAGAAAGAGAGGGAGAGAGAGAGAGAGCAUCGUAGGUGGGAUCUAUGGAAGUGUCUCUGCUAUGAAAUAAAUAACGGGGGAUUGUUUUCUUAGGGGAUGGUUCAAGCGAAAGGGGGUCGGGAUUAUUUAAAAAAAAAAAAAAAGAUGAUAAUAAUAAUAAUAAAAAUAAUAAAAAUAAAAGUAAAAAAUAAAAAAGACUCCUCUCUCUUGGUGUGUGCAUCCACUCGAUGAGGGUAAAACGAGUCUCUAAAGAGUAAUAAUAAUAAGAAAAAAAAAAAAAAAAAAAAAA